AGUGAACGCUGGCGGUAGGCCUAACACAUGCAAGUCGAACGGCAGCACAGUAAGAGCUUGCUCUUACGGGUGGCGAGUGGCGGACGAGUGAGGAAUACAUCGGAAUCUACUUUUUCGUGGGGGAUAACGUAGGGAAACUUACGCUAAUACCGCAUACGACCUACGGGUGAAAGCAGGGGAUCUUCGGACCUUGCGCGAUUGAAUGAGCCGAUGUCGGAUUGGCUAGUUGGCGGGGUAAAGGCCCACCAAGGCGACGAUCCGUAGCUGGUCUGAGAGGAUGGUCAGCCACACUGGAACUGAGACACGGUCCAGACUCCUACGGGAGGCAGCAGUGGGGAAUAUUGGACAAUGGGCGCAAGCCUGAUCCAGCCAUACCGCGUGGGUGAAGAAGGCCUUCGGGUUGUAAAGCCCUUUUGUUGGGAAAGAAAAGCAGCAGGUUAAUACCCCGCUGUUCUGACGGUACCCAAAGAAUAAGCACCGGCUAACUUCGUG
rnacentral:rRNA from 1 species